rnacentral:tRNA from 1 species
GGAGAAAUGGCCGAGUGGUCGAAGGCGCACGCCUGGAAAGUGUGNNGGUAUCAAGGGUUCGAAUCCCUUUUUCUCCG